rnacentral:lncRNA from 1 species
AGAACCCUGGUUCUAUGACAUUAUGAUGAUGAUGACAACGAUGACGAUAGUGGCAAUCAUUUAUUAAGCAUUGCCCUGGCCUAAGACACCACAUGGGUCAUUUCUUCCAGGCUCCAACUUGCUUCUGCUUUGCCAUAUGGUAACACGCCGUAUUAUGGAAGCACCAUCAUUACCGCCAUUUGCAGGGGAAGCCUAAAGAGAUAAAUGCCAGCCAGCAUCCCUGUCUCUGGGGCCCUGGAGAGGCCUUCAACACACCUGGCCUCACUGCCCUGUGGCUUCAACAAAGAGGCCGAGCAUCUCCUAUAAACCUUGAGGUCCAUGGAUGACAUAGCGGAAUGAUGGAUUUCAGAAAAGGCAGGUGCUUCCCACUCUUUAAAUUUUUGUUUAUUCUUUCCAAGUUUCCCAUCAACAGCCCUGCAGUAAAAAUUCAGGGCUUCAGAGACAAAUAUUUCAUGAGUACAGACUGUGAUGAGGAAAAGCAAGCCAUUCCCUCUCUAUCAGGAUCCAGAGCACACUGCUGUUACGACUCCAGAACCGAUAAGGAAGCUAUGUGUGGAAGUAUGAGCUCAGGUCGCCUUCUGACCCUCUGUGACGGUCUAUUUCAGGCAGUUAUGGAUAGAUAACAUUACAGACACUGGUAAUUAAAACAACACUAAUUUUGUCUCUGUGGUCACGCUUUGUUGUUAGAAGCCAUCUAUCAUGGCCUUCACGCAUCACGCAAUGAGAAGACAUUUGUCUACGUACAUUGUGCUUGGUCAACGGUUUUACGGAUUUCCCCGCGUACCUGGACACCCAGGCACUUUUAAAGACGUACUGCCUUCAUUUCUACUCUAUUACUCUGAUUAAUAAAACAUUUUGCAUGCUUCAUCAAAACACCCUGCAAGCUUUUCACCACAUAUAUUCAUGGGGGGGGAAGCAAUGUUAAUUUCUUUCCCUUUUAGAAAGAAACUAACAACAACAACAACAAAAGAAAUUCUCUUUUGGAUUGGAAGAGAGAAAGAAAAAUUCAAAUAUGGAAAUAUUUGUCUUCCCUGUAAAACAGAGUCCAGCCUAAUGAAAAGCAUAAUAUUAAAACACACACACAAUGCCAAGCAUCUCCUUUAAGGCUACACGUAUUUUUGACUAUAUGUAUCGUUAGUUCUUUUCUGUGCAUUCAUUUGCUUGAUUUAUGGACACUCAAUUUCACUUCACCUUUUAUUACAAGAUCUACAGUUACAUUAAGAGUAAUAGCAAGUCAAAUGUUUUUAUAUUUGGGCAAUUAAAAAAAAAGAAAAGAUCUAUUCCUUGGGCCCUUAUAAGAAAUUAGGGAUAGCUGAAAUGCAAGAUGACUAGUUUAGUUCUGUUGUAAUCAACUAAGAAGAAACUGUAAUGGUGCAUUUCAAGGGAUCUUUAACAAGUGACACAAACAAGAGAAGAAGCAGACAGGACCAUUUAACUUCAAACUCCACCGAAGAGAGCUGAAUUGUAAGCUUCCUACAGCAAGCCCGGCUGGCGGCUAUGUGGCAGUCUUCAUUUCUCAGCGGAAAAGCCACUCCCUUGAGACUCUCCAGGCACCCCCCAACCGCAUUUUUUAUCAAGUGUCUAAAAGACACAAUGAACAAAAACCAGAGCUUUUGAAUACAGAUUUCCAGUAAAACCAAACCCAGCUUGGGUCAGAUGCACCUUUCCAGCAACCACCAUCUCAGCAACAACCUGCCAGCUGUCAACUGGAAGUUCAGCUUCUGGGAACUUCAGCCCCCUUCUCAGAGGAGCAAGGUCCUAGCACCAACAGCACCUGCAGUGGAGCCCAAGUAUGGCUGCUUCAUGGAGAAGGCAGGUAUCUGUUUGCGUGCAAAUCCGUGAGUGCUUGCAUCUCGUGUAUUUGAAAAUCCUGUUUAAGAAUGCAGAGGUCCAUAUAGUGUCAUUAAAACAAAUGAGUAUAACCCUU